AAGCUCGUAGUUGAAUUUCGGGAUCAGUAUGUUGGUCGUGCUUAGGUACGUACUGUCAUUACUGGUUUCUCUCUUCUGAAGAACCUUAAUGUCAUUAAUUUGGUGUCUUGGGGAAUCAGGACUGUUACUUUGAAAAAAUUAGAGUGUUUAAAGCAGGCAUACGCUUGAAUACAUUAGCAUGGAAUAAUGAAAUAGGACGUUUGAUUCUAUUUUGUUGGUUUCUAGGAUCGACGUAAUGAUUAAUAGGGAUAGUUGGG
rnacentral:rRNA from 1 species